rnacentral:rRNA from 1 species
AUUGAACGCUGGCGGCAGGCCUAACACAUGCAAGUCGAGCGGAGCGGCGGACGGGUGAGUAAUACCUAGGAAUCUGCCUGGUAGUGGGGGAUAACGUUCGGAAACGGACGCUAAUACCGCAUACUAUCAGAUGAGCCUAGGUCGGAUUAGCUAGUUGGUGAGGUAAUGGCUCACCAAGGCUACGAUCCGGAACUGGUCUGAGAGGAUGAUCAGUCACCUGGGACCUGAGACACGGUCCAUACUGCGACGGGAGGAAGCAGUGGGGAAUAGUGGACAAGGGGCGAACGUCUGAUCCAGCCAUGCGGCGUGUGUGAAGAAGGUCUUCGGAUUGUAAAGCACUUUAAGUUGUGAGUCGUUACUGACAGAAUAAGCACCUGCGAACUGUGUGCCAGCCGGCGCGGUAAUUC